rnacentral:tRNA from 1 species
GGAGUUGUGGCUCAGUGGUAGAGUGCUCACCUAGCAUGUGUGAGGCACCAGGUUUGAUCCUCAGCACCA